ACGCCUGCCAGUGUCGCGUGCCCGUCCUGCCUCUGUCGCUCGCACACGCGCCCGCCCGGCUCGCACACCCCCGCUGCUCUCUCUUCCGCAUGUCCUGCCUCUCUCGCUUCCACUCCUCAGCCUAGCAAUUCAUGUCAUUCAUGCUAAUUAGUGGAGCCGUUCUUCUGCUUCUCUAGCUUCCAUUCCUCCACCCAGCAAUUCAUGCCGUUCAUGGUAAUUAGUGGAGCCGUUCUAGCAAUUCAUGCCGUUCAUGCUAAUUAGUGGAGCCGUUCUUGGCACUAAUAGCAUUCAUGCCUAGCAAUCACUUACGUUCCCACCGCUACUCUGUUGUUUGAAGACGAGCAGCCCCCCUCCCCCCUCCUGUACUGCGUCUGCGUGACUUUGAUUCAGUCUGGCGCUGCGAUCUGAUAAGAUGUUCAAAGGUGCUGCUUCUUUUUUUUAAAAUCUCUCUUGCGGAUUCCAUUCACUACCACUGUUUUCUUUUGUUUGCAUUUACGUUAGAGCAGAGAUUCAAAGCUUCCUUUUUUUAAUCUUCUAUGCGGAUUCGAGUUUUUUUUUUUUGGGUCUUCCGAGAGGUUAGACGCAGGAGAUCUCGAUGCCAUCUUUGAAGACGAUGUGCUGAGGCAUUGGGAUGAGAUGGAGCGAACAAACACCAAGAAAGAGGACCAAGGCCAAAGAACCUGCCGCUGCUGUGUCACAGUGAGGAGAAGGAAGCGCCGCCCUGCAAGGUCAUCGGAGCAGACCGUGCCGGAUAAGAUGAGAAGGCCUUGACUUUUGAGCUCCUGUCGCAGACUCGCAGCCCUGCAAGGUCGUCGGAGCAAACCAUGCCGGAUGAGGCGGUGCGGAGCUCAACGUCGCCUCACCGUCCUGAAGAAGCACUGCACGGAGCUGGGCAACCCCAGGUGGCCGUACCACAAGAUGAAUAGCCUGUAGGCCCUCAUCAACAAUGUCCAGGUCCUGCAGGAGGCGGGCAAGGCGACCGAGCAGCAGUUGAGGGUGACGGUGUACGUGCAGCUCGAGAAGAAGACCAAGAGGCUCAGGCAAACCUGCUUCAAGGCCAAUUACAAGAAGAGACGGCUCUUGGCUCUUGAAGCCGGGGAGGCACCAAGAAACCACAAGUACUGAUCCAAAUCAUGAGUCGUCAACUUAUAUAUGAGUACAACAGGAAGCUUCCACUAACCAAUGCCAUCCCCAAGGCAUUAGAGAACAUUCAUUUAAAAACAUUACCCUUUUUAGAUUUGUUCUUAUAGUAUAUAAAUCACCGCAGCAACACGCGGGGUAUCACCUAGUUCAGUUCUCGAAUUCGAAACCAACCCAGUCAAGAGAUGAUACAUCGUUUAAUUUCUCAUUAGUGUUAUCU